rnacentral:rRNA from 1 species
UACGAGGGGGGCAAGCGUUGUUCGGAAUUAUUGGGCGUAAAGGGCGCGUAGGCGGUUUGACAAGUCUGAUGUGAAAUCUAUGGGCUCAACCCAUAGUCUGCAUUAGAAACUGUCGGGCUUGAGUAUGGGAGAGGUGAGUGGAAUUUCCGGUGUAGCGGUGAAAUGCGUAGAUAUCGGAAGGAACACCUGUGGCGAAAGCGGCUCACUGGACCAUAACUGACGCUGAGGCGCGAAAGCUAGGGGAGCAAACAGGAUUAGAUACCCUGGUAGUCCUAGCCCUAAACGAUGAUUGCUUGGUGUGACAGGUACCCAAUCCUGUCGUGCCGAAGCUAACGCGAUAAGCAAUCCGCCUGGGGAGUACGGUCGCAAGGCUGAA